GUUUGGGCGACAAUGUUCCCCAAUACAUCAUUGCCCAGAAACACCUCCAUAAACUGCCGAGGGCUAAAUCCUGUGACAUCCAAAUUAAUGCCAGGAUUUGCAGUAAAGGAUGGGAUGUCUGGCCUCUGGCGAUAAGGCACUGCACAUUUCUCAGCAGUUCUGCCAGCUGGAGCAGCAUGUCUCCUUCUGGCAGGGGGACUAGCAGGCAC